rnacentral:misc_RNA from 1 species
GGAAAAUGUAGAUUUUAUAAGAAUAAUUCUAACACGGUUUCAACUUUUAACGCUGAGGAGGCUGUUCUUCUUCCCAAAUUUAAAGAAGACGAAGGAACCUAUUUUAUUGAGCUCAUGUUCUUAAACGAGCUUCCAACUGAUGAAACUGUAUCUGCAGGCAUUCCAGCAAGGUUUGGCAUGGCCAAAUGGCCUAAUUAGCCAUCAAGAUUCUGGCCAGGUGACUUGAACCAGGCAUUGCCUAGGCAAAUAU